rnacentral:rRNA from 1 species
UACGAAGGGGGCUAGCGUUGCUCGGAAUCACUGGGCGUAAAGGGUGCGUAGGCGGGUCUUUAAGUCAGGGGUGAAAUCCUGGAGCUCAACUCCAGAACUGCCUUUGAUACUGAAGAUCUUGAGUUCGGGAGAGGUGAGUGGAACUGCGAGUGUAGAGGUGAAAUUCGUAGAUAUCGGGGAGAACACCGGUGGCGAAGGCGGCCCGCUGGCCAGCGACGUGACGCUGAGACGGCGAAAAGCGUGGGGAGCAAACAGG